rnacentral:lncRNA from 1 species
GUUUAGUAUAAUGCCUUGAGAACGUGUUUCCAACAGACUAUAUACCGGGGACCUGUAAGAUCGUUCGGCUUUGAAACUUGUCCGAGCCUCUUUCUUAUUUCAGGGUAAGACACUAACAGAAUAGGGAGUCUCAACCAGUGAGCACAUCCCCGAAGGUGAGAAGUGAAUGGUUUCGUAGCAGUUCAUAUGUACAGUUCAGAUAAUAUCAAAGCAGUAAAACAUGUGGCAUUUAGCACAAAACAUGUAAGCAAA